rnacentral:rRNA from 1 species
CCUACGGGGGGCAGCAGUGGGGAAUAUUGCACAAUGGGCGCAAGCCUGAUGCAGCCAUGCCGCGUGUGUGAAGAAGGCCUUCGGGUUGUAAAGCACUUUCAGCGGGGAGGAAGGCGUUAAGGUUAAUACCCUUGGCGAUUGACGUUACCCGCAGAAGAAGCACCGGCUAACUCCGUGCCAGCAGCCGCGGUAAUACGGAGGGUGCAAGCGUUAAUCGGAAUUACUGGGCGUAAAGCGCACGCAGGCGGUCUGUCAAGUCGGAUGUGAAAUCCCCGGGCUCAACCUGGGAACUGCAUUCGAAACUGGCAGGCUAGAGUCUUGUAGAGGGGGGUAGAAUUCCAGGUGUAGCGGUGAAAUGCGUAGAGAUCUGGAGGAAUACCGGUGGCGAAGGCGGCCCCCUGGACAAAGACUGACGCUCAGGUGCGAAAGCGUGGGGAGCAAACAGGAUUAGAUACCCUUGUAGUC